AAUUUAUAUGAGCUAUAAAUUAUUUGGUAUCGGCUAUUAAAUUUUUUAAAAAUUUAAUUUACUAUUCAACCUUUCAAUUUAUUUUAUUUGAGACGGUCAACGAUAAGUUAAUUAUUUACGGUAAUAAGUUUAUGGUUGCGAAAAUUGUAUGAAAUAUGCUAAUUAAAGUUGUAAAAAUAAAUAACGCAUUCAAAUUUAAAAAUUAAAAUAGCUGACUAAUCAAAAUUUUGAAAAAUUUAACUCAGAAUGUUUCAUAAUUUAGAUAAUCUAUGUAUAUUUUUAUCUUAUUCUAUUUGAAAA
rnacentral:lncRNA from 1 species